UCCACUUUUUCUCAGCUGCACCCUCUCAGUUCAGGCAGCAGCAGUACCAGGUGUAUGUACAUAACUUCCAAGACACACGAGUGCAAUUCUGAAGCUGAUUUUCAGCCAUGGAGAGAAGAAAUGCAGGAUGCAGCCAAGAGUCAUUUUACUAAAGGCACAGGGAGAGGACACAUCAAAGGAAAAGGUCCAUCAAAUCAUAAGGUUCCGUCAGGCGUGGGGACACCUGCCUUGCUGAUAUGUCUGCAAUGUUCCAAACUGGCAAGGUCUCGUUUGUCUUCCAAGCUUCCUAUUAUGCACAUGAUUUUGGGGCUGUCCUACACCCCACUUACAAAAACAGAGGAAGAUGUAAUAGAGGCAGCCCGUGCAGGGGGGGUAUAUGUUUAUUCACACAAAAGGAGAUGUCAGCCAGGCAAGUGCCAGCUUGCUACUCCUUAAAAAAGA